UACUGUUGACUCUGAGGAUCUUGUCAUUAAUGUUCUAAAUGGUCUUGAUGAUCCGUAUAUGGAGCCCUCUCAUGCUAUCCAAGCCCGUGAAUCUCCAAUCUCUUUUGCUGAAUUACAUGACAAGUUGUUAAGCAUGGAGGCUCAGAUUAAUGCCCGUGCGCCGGCCACCUCCGUCGCAUCUGAUUUGGCUCCGUCGGCUGCCUUCGU
rnacentral:lncRNA from 1 species